rnacentral:tRNA from 1 species
UCUACUUUGGCAGAAUAGUGCCUUGGAUUUAGAAUUCAAAUAUGUAAUAAGAUUACAAGUAGAA